rnacentral:rRNA from 1 species
UACGUAGGGUGCGAGCGUUGUCCGGAUUUAUUGGGCGUAAAGAGCGCGCAGGCGGUCGUACAAGUCGCGUGUGAAAGCCCCCGGCUUAACUGGGGAGGGUCACGCGAUACUGUUCGACUCGAAGGCAGGAGAGGGAAGCGGAAUUCCCGGUGUAGUGGUGAAAUGCGUAGAUAUCGGGAGGAACACCAGUGGCGAAGGCGGCUUCCUGGCCUGUUCUUGACGCUGAGGCGCGAAAGCUAGGGUAGCAAACGGG